rfam:Brucella melitensis biovar Abortus 2308 chromosome I, complete sequence, strain 2308
CGGCCUCCACCUGCUGCGGCGCGAUAUAGUGAACAUGGGUAUCCAUGCCGCCCGCGGUGAGGAUAAGGUGCUCGCCCGAUAUGGCGUCGGUUGAAGCGCCGGUCACAAGGCCGCGCGUCACACCGUCCUUGGUGGAAGGGUUGCCUGCUUUUCCAAGGCCGACGAUCCUUCCGUUGCGAAUGCCGACAUCGGCCUUCACAACCCCCUGUAUGGCGUCGAUGACAGUCACAUUUGUAAUGACCAGAUCGAGGCAGCCUGCUUCCUGGGUAAGGAAAUUUUCCGACCCCAUGCCGUCACGCAG